rnacentral:rRNA from 1 species
CCUACGGGAGACAGCAGUGAGGAAUAUUGGUCAAUGGGCGGGAGCCUGAACCAGCCAAGUCGCGUGAGGGAAGACGGUCCUAUGGAUUGUAAACCUCUUUAGGCGGGGAGCAAUGCCGGGCACGCGUGCCCGGAGGGAGAGUACCCGCAGAAUAAGCAUCGGCUAACUCCGUGCCAGCAGCCGCGGUAAUACGGAGGAUGCGAGCGUUAUCCGGAUUGAUUGGGUUUAAAGGGUGCGUAGGCGGAUUUUUAAGUCAGCGGUAAAAUGUCCGGGCUCAACCCGGGCCGGCCGUUGAAACUGGGGAUCUUGAGUGGGCGAGAAGUAUGCGGAAUGCGUGGUGUAGCGGUGAAAUGCAUAGAUAUCACGCAGAACUCCGAUUGCGAAGGCAGCAUACCGGCGCCCGACUGACGCUGAGGCACGAAAGCGUGGGGAUCGAACAGGAUUAGAUACCCCAGUAGUC